UCUAGAAUUUCAGAGAGUUCUGUUAUGAUCUCUGUUGUAAUUAACAAUUUGGUUCAAGUUUGUUCUUUAAGUGAAUGUGCUAAGAAUUCCUAUGUGGUCUGGAUGUCCUGGAAUUAAAAGGAUUUAAGAGAUCAUGGUGUGCAUAUUCUAGGAUAAUAGGUUUUACCAGUCCCUGGAUGACGUGCUUGGGGAGUCAUUAAAUGCCAUAACCUACCAUCAUUUCAAAGAAGAGAAAAUAGAUGGUUUUGGAAAGUUCAUGCUAUUUCUUCACUGAAUUUUAGAAUGAUUGAAGAUAGUGGGAAAAGAGGAAAUACCAUGGCAGAAAGAAGACAGCUGUUUGCAGAGAUGAGUAAGUAUGGAACUUUUAAAGAACACCAUUCAAUGGAAACACAAUAGUUUCCAUUGAAUGCUCACAAAAAUGCUAGAAAUAACCUCUUAAUCCUUACAGCAUUUGUAUGUUUCUUUAAAAUCCUAAACUCCUUGAAUAAAGUGUACAUUUGGCCAUUUUGGCCUCCUAUUA